CUACAAUAGUAAAUAAUGUUAUAUUUAUUUUACAGAUAAGAAAACUGAGGCUUAAGACACUGUUCUUAAGAAACUGUUUUGAUUAUGACAAAAAUCAUAUAUAACACCAAAUUUUUAAGAUUAAUUUGUGACCAUUCAUCCUUUUUAACGGACCCAGGAACGAGUGGGAAAGCUUUUCCUUACAAACUGUGCCAAACAUUUGGAAGAAGUACAAGAAGAAAGAGAGAAGGAAAGACGGAGAGAAAGACAGAGAGAUGGAGAAUAGAAGAAAAUAUAAUUAUGCUUUGGUAAAUAAUAAAACAUUUAUGGUAAUAUGUAGAAUUAUCA
rnacentral:lncRNA from 1 species